CUUAAGAAGAAAAUGUACAGGGUUAGGCAGGUAGUACUGUGAUGCACAGAUAGGGGCAGCGUUGUGCGCUGAGGUCUAUGAUUGGCUGUGCUGAGCCCCAUAGACACAAUGCACACAAGUGCACGCAGCUGCAUCCUGUUCUAGGUCUAAGGACAAGGAGCGUCACCGGAAACCGUGUAACGAUCUUUUAUAUAACAGUCGAAUACUCAUUAAAUAAGUAAAUUAAUAAAUAAAAUAAUUGAAACAUUCCACGAGAAAAAUGAGUGUUUGACCGAGGAAGACCAAACUUUUGGGCUGAAGAAUCUGCUGCAGCGCGACGACGGAAACGCUAAGGUCUGGACCAAACUCCAACUGCCAUUGGAAAUGGACGGCGUUCUUCCGGACUGAAAGGCCUCCUGAGACUCCAGGGACACCAGGGAGCUGCCGAUCCUACCCAACAGGACGAAGACCACCGAGGGACACCAGAAAAGCCAAAAAAGGCCUCACCACAGGAGAUCGUCUGCCUCCACCCCGGCCUCCUCUGCCUCCACCCCGGCCUCCUCUGCUUUUCCACCGUUCUCCUCUGACGUCU